rnacentral:misc_RNA from 1 species
GGAUUCAACAAUUAAAAUCCGUGACUGUACAGGCAUAAACCAUUAACAAACGUCAUCAUUAAAAGCCUUCAUCCAUACAAACAUUAAUAAUACAACAAACAUACAAACAUUUAGCUUCAGAAGUCAACUGAAGAUAUUCCAACUAAAUAUGUACUUAUUUUUACGACUAUUAGGUUCUAACCAUUAUUCGCUUAGAAAGUGCCGAAGUGUGUCGACGCAGCAUUACUACUGGUUCCACUGUUUUAAAUAGACGUCUAUAUACUUGCUGUAUUUGAUUAUACUUAAAUACUGAGAACUAUUAAAUGAAAGCUUGAGCGGGUAGAGCGACGAGCUAAAUCUAAAGCGAUUGAUAAUAAAAAGUAGUUACCCAUUGAAAUGGUCUGGGCAGGUACUUGUAAUUCUACCAUUAACCGACUGUGAAAAUCAAGUACCCCCAUUAACACAACGAAUGUUUUAUGUCCUAAGUAGGCUUUCCUUAUAGGUUUUAGAUGUUAGGUGGUAAAAAUCAGUGGUAGCGCGACUAAUUUAAACAUUAAUUAUUUUCUGUCAAGUGACGUCGCCGGCGUGCAAAAUUGAUCCAAGAUUUAGAUUUUAGAAGGUGUUGUUUUAACUUUUGAUUUGUUCUCCAGCCGAAGAUGCUACCCGUGAAGCCGGGCAGCCCCGCGCCCGACGGCAGCUCCAUGGACAAGAAGCCGAUCGCCGGGAUCCCGCGCGUGGCGCCUACCACCAAGUUCAACGCGCCCGUGCACAUCGACGUCGGCGGCACCAUCUACACCUCCUCACUAGAGACUCUUACCGCCUACCCCGAGUCCCGCCUCGGGAAGAUGUUCAACGGCACCAUCCCCAUAGUCUUGGACACGCUGAAACAGCACUACUUCAUCGACCGCGACGGCGGCAUGUUCCGGCACAUCCUCAACUUUCUGCGCAACAAGAAGCUGCUGCUGCCUGAUGACUUCCCUAACCUGGACUUGCUGCUGCACGAAGCUUUGUACUUCGAGUUAGACCAUAUGGUGUUCGUUCUGACGAAGAUGAAGAACAACAAAGAAGGCGUAAAGCAGGACCGCGUGUGGCUGAGCGAAGCCACGGAGCGGCUCAAGCAGGAGUCGGAGCUGCUCACGCAGGAGCGCGAGCGGCUGCAGCAGCGGUGGUCGUGAACUGAGGUUAGCUGUACAGAUACUGAUAUGAAAAGGCGACGCACUACGUAAUUGUUGUAGUACGAGAUACGAGAUAAGAAAACGUGCUUCAAACUGGCGAUUAAGGAUGCCUCACGAUAGAUCGGAAUGGGACCGGGUCGGAGCUUCAGUAGUAAUUCUCUCUGAAGAAAACGCAGCGCGGAAGCGCUGAAGACUUAUCGUGAGAUAUUCUAUAGGCGAUCAAAUACUUCAUUAUUAUGAAGAUAACUUGACCCAAGAAAAUUUGAAGUGAAAAAUAAUACCGCAACUUAUAUGUUGUCAUAUACAUAGGUAAUUAGGUACAUCACCUCUCGGGUAUUGACUCGUAUCCAUUUGUAAUGACACACUGCAAGUAGAUCCGCUUCAAUAGAAGCUUUAAAUGUUUGGAAGGACAGAGUGGACAAACACCUACUUAUGAUUUAUGAUCGGUAGCGUAAUAUGUAAAAAAUAAACAAUUUUUCUGUCCAUAUAUAUACUUUGUCUACAGAGACAUAUUUUUCUACAUUUAUUUUAUAAAACUACAUAACUACCUACCUAAAUCGUACUAACGUAAACAGUAGGUACGUACCAUUACUACGAGUCACUAACUGUGUCAACUCAACAAUGACAUUUACUCUAACGCCUACGUGACUUAGGGCCGGUUGCACCAAACCGUCUGUCACCGUUAAAGCGUUCGUAAUUUUUUUAUUGUAUUGGAAGUUCCAUAGACGUGUGCUGCGUGACGAUGAUGUGUCUGUUAAAUGUGGUUGAUGCAACUGGCCCUUACUCUCUAUCUCUCUAAGAAUAUCGGUCAUACUGAAAUAUUAAUUCAGAAUGUGUGUUACGUAGAUGCUAGCGUAUAUAAUAGUAAUGAGUUGAUGACAAUGUCAGUGAGUGGUAAGGACAUGAGUCCCGUGGACAAGUGGCCAGUCAUUCAUGCUCCGAACUGUAGGUAUCGUAGUUAUCUCUCAUUUCCUCUUUCGUAUUCGUGUAACAAAGACAUAGCUACGAUACGCUAGGAAGCCCGAAAGACUGGCCUCUUGUCUACACACCCAGGUGUUGAGGAAGACUGACGCAACGUUAGUGACCUCACAUACCGUUCUUGCCACGAGCGCUGUGGUGCUAAGUAUAAUAAGCACUUUUAUAUAAACUGGCAUAAUUACUGGUACUUUUGGUUGCGGCCUCACUUAAAAUGUAAAAAAGUCUUUAUUUACCUACUUAAUUUUAAUAAUAAUUUCAAGGAUUAAAUAUCAGCCCCAGAGGGAAGUCUAGCUGCUAAACUUAUAAAACAUAUCCAUUAAAAUACUCAGUCUCACGAUAAUUAUUUUAUUUUCCAUACACGUCAUUUAACUAUCCAAAGCAAACCUUGUGACUGAACAUAAUACCAAACAUAAUUCGAGAAAUGCGCAUUCACUUUCGAUUUCCAAAAAAAAUGUAUAACAAAAGAUUGAGCAUUGUCAACGAGUUUGUUACAUAUCGUAUUCAGACAUUAUUUUGUU